GAUGAACGCUGGCGGCGUGCUUAACACAUGCAAGUCGAACGAAAAGACCCUGCUCUUGUGCGGUUGUCGAGUGGCGAGCGGGUGAGUGUCACGCGUGUAACACGCACCUAUCUGUGGGAUAACUUUACGAAACUGCGGCGCAUACCGCAUAGGAUAUACUGAUGCAUAGUGGGCGUUGGAAAGAUUCGGCGGUGGGGGAUGGUAUCGAUGCUUAUCAGCUUGUUUGGCGGGUAGUGGAUUACAAAGGCUAUGACGGAUAGGCGACCUGAGAGCGUGGCCAGCGACAUUGCGACUGAGAUACGGAGCAGACGGCUACGGGAGGCAGCAGUCGGGAAUAUUGCACAAUGGGGGGGAGCCAGAGGUAGCAACGUCGCGAGCGUGAUGACGUGCUACUGGUUGUGAACCGAUUUCGCCUGUGACGAAGCGUGAUUGACGGUAAUUGGUAAAGAAGCCCCGGCUAACUACGUG
rnacentral:rRNA from 1 species